ACUGGUUGAUCCUGCCAGUAGUCAUAUGCUUGUCUUAAAGAUUAAGCCAUGCAGGUGUAAGAUCAUAUCUAUGAAUGGUGAAUCCGCGAAUGGCUCAUUAAAUCAGUUAUAAUUUAAUAGGAUGUGAUUCGUUAAUUGGAUAACUGUGGUAAUUCUAGAGCUAAUACAUGCAUAUACGGCUGAACUUUGUUUGGCUGUGCUUUUAUUAGUGCAAACCAGGCCUUCGGGCUGCAAAAUGGUGACUCUGAAUAACUUUGCUGAGCAUUUGGACCUUGUGUCAGUGCUAUUCCUUUAAAGUAUCUGCUCUAUCAACUGUCGAUGGUAUAUUAUAUGUUUACCAUGGUUGUAACGGGUAACGGGGAAUUAGGGUUCGAUUCCGGAGAGGGAGCCUGAGAAACGGCUACCACAUCUAAGGAAGGCAGCAGGCGCGCAAAUUACCCAAUCCCGGCUCGGGGAGGUAGUGACAAAAAAUAACAAUGCGGGACUCUUAUGAGGCUUCGUAAUUGGAAUGAGUACAUUCUAAAUCCUUUAACGAGGAACUAUUGGAGGGCAAGUCUGGUGCCAGCAGCCGCGGUAAUUCCAGCUCCAAUAGCGUAUAUUAAAGUUGUUGCGUCUAAAAAGCUCGUAGUUUGAAAACUUGCCUUGGCUUACAACAGACGUCUAAGGGCGUCACCGUUUGUCGAGAGCAAAUAUGGGUGACUGUUCUUGCCUUCUUCACUGAUUGGCUCGUAAAAGUCAUCGAAGAUCACUUUGAUUAAAUUGGGUGCUCAAAGCAAGUGUGCUACUUGAAUAUGAAUGCAUGGAAUGAUGGAAUAUGUUGUUGUUCUAUUUGUUGGUUUUUUGAAUGACGAAAUGAUUGAAAGGAACUGUUGGGGGCAUUCGUAUUGUUGUGAGAGAGGUGAAAUUCUUAGACCAUAGCAAGACGAACUACUGCGAAAGCAUUUGCCAAGAAUGUUUUCAUUGAUCAAGAACGAAAGUUAGAGGUUCGAAGGCGAUCAGAUACCGCCCUAGUUCUAACCAUAAACUAUGCCGACUAGCAAUUUGCUUUGUAUUUUUAUGACUAAGUGAGAGGCCACGGGAAACCAAAGUAGGGUUAUGGGGGAAGUAUGGUUGCAAAGCUGAAACUUAAAGGAAUUGACGGAAGGGCACCACCAGGAGUGGAGCCUGCGGCUUAAUUUGACCCAACACGGGAAAACUUACCUGGUCCUGACACUAGAAGGAUGACAGAUUGAUAGCUCUUUCUUGAUUUGGUGGAUGGUGGUGCAUGGCCGUUCUUAGUUGGUGGAGUGAUUUGUCUGGUUAAUUCCGAUAACGAACGAGACUCUAGCCUAUUAAAUAAUAU
rnacentral:rRNA from 1 species